CGUAUCACCCAAGACAACUUUACGGAGUUGACGAUUGACGGAGCGAAGCGACGUCAAAGCGUUCAUUAAAGUCGAGUUGGCUUAGGGAUACGUUCGUUGGGUAGGGGAGCGUUCUGUAAGCCUGUGAAGGUGUGUCGUGAGGCAUGCUGGAGGUAUCAGAAGUGCGAAUGCUGACAUAAGUAACGAUAAAGCGGGUGAAAAGCCCGCUCGCCGGAAGACCAAGGGUUCCUGUCCAACGUUAAUCGGGGCAGGGUGAGUCGACCCCUAAGGCGAGGCCGAAAGGCGUAGUCGAUGGGAAACGGGUUAAUAUUCCCGUACUUGGUGUUACUGCGAAGGGGGGACGGAGAAGGCUAUGUUGGCCGGGCGACGGUUGUCCCGGUUUAAGCGUGUAGGUGUGUGUUCCAGGUAAAUCCGGUUCACUUUAACACUGAGGCGUGACGACGAGGCACUACGGUGCUGAAGCAACAAAUGC
rnacentral:rRNA from 2 species